CCAGACUCCUACGGGAGGCAGCAGUGAGGAAUAUUGGUCAAUGGUCGGGAGACUGAACCAGCCAAGCCGCGUGAGGGAUGAAGGUACAGAGUAUCGUAAACCUCUUUUGUCAGGGAACAAAGGCGGGGACGUGUCCCCGGAUGAGUGUACCUGAAGAAAAAGCAUCGGCUAACUCCGUGCCAGCAGCCGCGGUAAUACGGAGGAAGCGAGCGUUAUCCGGAUUUAUUGGGUUUAAAGGGUGCGUAGGCGGGCCGUUAAGUCAGCGGUAAAAUUGCGGGGCUCACCCCCGUCGAGCCGUUGAAACUGGCAGACUUGAGUUGGCGAGAAGUACGCGGAAUGCGCGGUGUAGCGGUGAAAUGCAUAGAUAUCGCGCAGAACUCCGAUUGCGAAGGCAGCGUACCGGCGCCAGACUGACGCUGAGGCACGAAAGCGUGGGGAUCGAACAGGAUUAGAUACCCGCGUA
rnacentral:rRNA from 1 species